AGAACGAACGCUGGCGGCAUGCCUAAUACAUGCAAGUCGAACGAACUCUUCGGAGUUAGUGGCGCACGGGUGCGUAACGCGUGGGGAUCUGCCCUUGGGUUCGGAAUAACAGUUGGAAACGACUGCUAAUACCGGAUGAUGACGAAAGUCCAAAGAUUUAUCGCCCAGGGAUGAGCCCGCGUAGGAUUAGCUAGUUGGUGAGGUAAAGGCUCACCAAGGCGACGAUCCUUAGCUGGUCUGAGAGGAUGAUCAGCCACACGUGGGACUGAGACACGGCCCAGACCUCCGUACGGGG
rnacentral:rRNA from 1 species